rnacentral:lncRNA from 1 species
GAGGAAAAAUCUGUCAAUUUGUUCUUGAGUAGGAUUCAACUAAUCUCCGAAUAUCCCUUGAAUAGAUUCUGAAGAUUACUCCGUUAGGAGCCUCAACAGAGAGAUAAUGAGCCUCGAGGUAUCAAAUCCACUUAGAACAAAUUAUUGUGUGUUUUAAAAUUUUUUUUAUUGAUUUUCAUUGAUUUCUUUUACAUAUCUAUUACAUAUUUCUUCCCCUUUUUGUCAUCGUAUCAAAAAGGAAGGGAAUAGAACACACAAGCAAGUAGGGAUCAGUUUGCACAAUAUUGAAGAGAAGUCGUCUACUCAUUGUAUUGAUGUAUAUGUAAGUACAUUUGUGAAUACAAUAAGUAAAACAGAAAAUACAUGUCAAAAUAAACAAAAACAUCUAUGGUCUCCUCGAGGAUGUGGCUCCUCCUCUCAAUCUGUUCUGCUCCAUGAGGAGACGACCCCAUCCACAACAUUCCCAAGCUGGGAGAUAAUGGCCGAGGUGGCCCUGCUGUGUGUCGUGGAGAGCUCGGUCAG